ensembl:lncRNA
CCCCGUCCUCCUCAGCACACCGUCCCACGCUGUCACCGCAGGCUCUCAGCUGCCGCUGCACACGGCCCCUUCACAUUGGAGUGUGGUGUUCAGCAGGGCACCGUUGUGUUCAGAGCUUCACAUUAGAGUGUGGUGUUCAGAGUGUGGUGUUCAGAGUGUGGUGUUCAGAGUGUGGUGUUCAGAGUGUGGUGUUCAGAGUGUGGUGUUCAGAGUGGCACCGUUGUGUUCAGAGUGUGGUGUUCAGAGUGUGGUGUUCAGAGUGUGGUGUUCAGCAGGGCACCGUUGUGUUCAGAGCUGCAGCUCCACGUUUGUUCAGUGGCCCAUCACGACAGUGAGCAUUUUCAGCAUCACACACAGCCCAACAUUUGCUUUACACACAGUUCCUUCCUUACUCACCUUAACACGUAAUCCAGUCCACACUACAGUGUGCAGACUACACUGGAUCCAGCCCAACACUUCACUGUGCAGGUUAGACCACAGCUAACCCAA